GAGCCAUUAGCUCAGUUGGUAGAGCAUCUGACUUUUAAUCAGAGGGUCAGAGGUUCGAAUCCUCUAUGUGGCUCAUCA
rnacentral:tRNA from 1 species